GUGGGUAUAGCUCAGUUUGGUCAGAGCGCCAGGUUGUGGCCCUGGAGGCCGUGGGUUCAAGUCCCAUUACCCACCCCA
rnacentral:tRNA from 1 species